AACGGCUCACCAAGGCGACGAUGGGUAGCCGGCCUGAGAGGGUGAACGGCCACACUGGGACUGAGACACGGCCCAGACUCCUACGGGAGGCAGCAGUGGGGAAUAUUGCGCAAUGGGGGGAACCCUGACGCAGCAACGCCGCGUGAACGAAGAAGGCCUUCGGGUCGUAAAGUUCUGUCAAGUGGGACGAAGACUGGAUGGCGAACAGCGAUCCAGGUGACGGUACCUAAAGAGGAAGCUCCGGCUAACUACGUGCCAGCAGCCGCGGUAAUACGUAGGGAGCAAGCGUUGUCCGGAAUUACUGGGCGUAAAGGGCGCGCAGGCGGCCAUGUAAGUCAGAUGUGAAAACCCGGGGCUCAACCCCGGCCUGGCAUUUGAAACUGGAUGCUUGAGGAUGAGAGAGGAAAGUGGAAUUCCUAGUGUAGCGGUGAAAUGCGUAGAUAUUAGGAGGAACACCAGUGGCGAAGGCGACUUUCUGGCUCAUACCUGACGCUGAGGCGCGAAAGCGUGGGUAGCAAACAGGAUUAGAUACCCUGGU
rnacentral:rRNA from 1 species